GGUGGCGCCAUAGCGCCGCAUACAGUCAGAUUAGCCGGGUGGAGGGAUAUAAGGCGAAGAGCGGAGCCGCUUCAGUCUUUCCCGCUGACGGAGCAGAGCCGAACGGAGGACCUCAAACAUGGGUUUUCCUGCAGCAUCUCAGACCAGGUUGGCUGGUUUCCUGGACCGUCAUCUGCCUCGGUGGCUGUGAUUCCACUGGAACGCUAAAGAGCUCGGACCUUCCCUGGAUGAUGGGACGUUGUCUUCUCCAGAGCUGGAUUUCAGUUCAGAGCUCCUGAGAUGCUGGUGUGACUCAGGAGCCAGAGAUGGAUCUGCUCCCAGUCUGAGGGGCAAAUGAAGAUGGACGUUCUCCCACGAUGAACAUGGCUUCUGGUUCAGUUUGAAGGAGUCUUUGACGAUGGAUGGACCUGAUUUUUGGACCCAGAAACAAAGGUGGACUUUCAGAGUCCAGGAGUCACUCCUGUCUGGGUGGAACGUGACAGAUAUCCAGGUGACCUUCAGCUGAAGGACCGGCGGCUCACAGGUGGACUAAGCCCCACCCCUGCUGCUCUGGGAGUGAAGUUCACGUACCAAAUAUGUUGUGCAGAUUUUGUUCUUUGAGGAACUUGGAAUCCAGGUUGUCAAUUGUUGUUUUUAAUAAAGAUUCUUUCAACAA